UACGUAGGGUGCAAGCGUUGUCCGGAAUUAUUGGGCGUAAAGGGCUCGUAGGCGGUCCAUCGCGUCGGGAGUGAAAAGCUGGGGCUUAACCCCAGUCCUGCUUCCGAUACGGGUGGACUAGAGGUAUGCAGGGGAGAACGGAAUUCCUGGUGUAGCGGUGAAAUGCGCAGACUAUCAGGAGGAACACCCGUGGCGAAGGCGGCUCUCUGGGACGGUACUGACGCUGAGACGCGAAAGCGUGGGAGCGAACAGG
rnacentral:rRNA from 1 species